ensembl:lncRNA
AAGGCUGUCCAAAUUCAAAGGGUACUCAAAAUGUGGCGACAAAUGCGUCCUACUUUGCCCUGAAUUCUAAGGAUGGUCCGAUGUAUCCUUCAUGUCCUACUAUAUCCCAGGAUUCAUUGCGGGUCAUAGAGGAGAUUUGUUUCUGAUAACGAUGGUGGUCGAAGCAGGAGAGGAAAACACUUUCAAAUGUAAGUAUAUGAAAAUCUGGUUGUACAAAACUUAAAUUGUUAUAUCGGUCAUUUUGAUAAGCUUUGGGCAUCUGCAUAGACAUGUUUCUUUUCUUUAAAAUAACCAUAAACCAGCUUGUAUCGGGGGUCCCGAGAUUUUUCAUGUAUUGCCGCUUACAUACAGCUAAUUUUGAUUUUUUCGAAUUGGUGAUAUGUUGUGGGGAACAAAGACCAAAAGGCUUAAUUUAUUACAACGAGGAGAAAACGAUCACUUCUUCACUGGGGUGAAGAAAUGGGCCGCUACGGCGUGGAUGUACAAGAAUAAAUCAAUUUACGCAUCAUAUUCAUAUGAGUACAGUCCUAUUAACCCUCAUGCUGUACAGCAGCGGUCCCCAACCUUUUUUGCGCCACAGACCGGUUUAUGUCAGACACGGAGCCUUUAAGGUAUCGCGGAUGAAUACGACCACAUAAAAUGAUCCGACCAAGACAAAAACUGUGGUAUUUUGUAAAUAUAAUAAUAAACGUGAAUGUACUGUGUAAUUGUGUAACUUUAUUAGCAGUGUCCUCCUGAAAAUGCGCCAAUAUUGACAGUAACAUCCUCCUCAAUGCUCUCUGGUCGCUAUGGUAACGUGUAAAUAUUUCUUUCAAAAUAAGACACACAACUACAACAAGGGAAAGACUCAGGGAAACCGAGUUAACGAUAAAAACCCUGAAAACCAUAAAUUUCACUCUCGUGGCCCGGUACCAAACGACUCACGGACCGCUGCUGUACAGAACCUGUGAUGUCCAGACGGUGUUCCUCUGGUGUUCUGCUGUGAAAACCUUUGGGCUUAGGGAUUAACAUAGUUGCCAUGGUGUCCUUUCUUCUCUUAUUUGUUGUGUGUGAUCAGGACAAUUCUGGAGAAGAUGGGCCUGCAAGGGAAAGUCACCCCCUUGCAGGCCAGAAGACAUGAGAUAACUUUAAAGAAUACAAAGAUUGCAAGUAUCCAGGCUCAGGAGAGGGGGUCAGUGGGAAGCCCACUGCUGCUACUUGGCCCUGGUUUGCCCUCAUGGAUGAGGUGAUAGGACAGAUGCCUUCCAUUAAGCCUCCUGUCCCAUUUCCUCUCUCCCUGAGGACACCCAGGGCCAAGCGCAGCAGUGGGUGACCAAAACGACAGUGAUGACGAAGUUGCUCAGCCACCCACGACAGGGAGAAAGAGGAAAAGAGACAGGGAUGAUGAGCUGCUAGACCUCAUCAGAGAGGACACGAGGCAGCAAAGAGAGGCUGAGGAGAGGAGAGCAGGGAGAGGACGGACAGACUGUUUUCACUUCUAGAAAGAUUCUCCCCGACCACAGUGUUAUUUACAAUCCAAACCAAAAGGUCAAAGGUCAAGCUGUUAAUCAGACUGUGCAGAGGAAACCUUUCUACACGUCACAAAGGAAAAUGUAUAAAAUGGAACAGAGUUUAUCAUAUUUAAAGAAAGAGCUUAGAACAUAUGUAUUUUUAUUCAUCGAACAAUUUGACAGGAAUGAAUCAAAGAUGAGACAGAUCGUGAGAGAGUUUCAGAGGAUUUCUGAUGAAGUAAAAGAAAUGCAGGAAAACACUAACAAAGCAAGAAAAGUAGGAGCUGUUACUGGAGGAAUAGGAGCAGGAUUCAUUUUAGGAGGGCUCCUAUUAGCUCCAUUAACUGGAGGAGCGAGUUUAGUUGCAGUUGGUGUUGGAAGUGCUACUGCUGUUGGAGGCGGAGCUACUGUUGUUGGAUCCAACAUAAAAAAAAUUUUGUCAGAGAGUAGAUGUGGAGAGAAAGUAGAAAUGUGGGGAAAAGAAUUUAUGGCAAAAGUUGAACCAAUGAAGGAGAACCUGAAGGACAUACAGGUGACGUGUGAAAAUUUGGAGAAAGAGUCAGCUGAAGCUCAGGCUGAAAACACUCUGGCUGAUGUGAAGGAGCUUCAGAAGACCCUCGCACGAGUAUCUCGCCUAAAAAACAUGGCUGAGGGACUUUGGUUUGAAGCUGACAUCCUUCUGUUUGUUCUGGGUGAGCUGGUAAAGAUCAUCAAGCAAAUCUUCAGCCUCACUGAUACCCCUGAAGAGGAUCAAAGGUUAAGAGACGCCAUUAUCAAAUCGGCUGAUCAGAGUCAGAAGAUCAUUGAGGGGUUUGAUGAGAUGAAAACAGAACUGAGAAAGUGUAUGAAUGAAAUAUAAGAGUAGAAAAGUCACCUCCACCCCUCCUCCUCCACCCUGUGAGCCUGUACUGUUCACACUGACUAACAAAGUUUUAUGAAUAAAGGAUCAUCAGACUGUGACCUGGACUGUAUGGAGGACUUGUGUAGUUUGAGUCUGAAGCUUCCUCAUAAUCUCCAUUCACAGACUGGGUGUUGUUGUAUAUCCAUGUAAAGCUGAUCCACAGCAGCAUGAUGUCACAGAAGGUCACAGAGAGGUCGUAUGAAGAGGGUCCACAGCCUCACAAAGAGCUGCUUUCCUCCAUGAUCUCCAAUAUUUAUUUGACUGUUUUACUCCACAUUUAACCUGAACUGUGAGAGACUCGCCGACUUUCUUUGUCCUGGCUGGAAAAUGUUUUUUAUUCAUGAGCUAAAAAGAUGAUUUCAUUAAUUUGGUCGGACUCUUAUUACAAAAUAAACCUGAGAAACUUCCUGAGCGCAGAAAUGAUUUCUAAUUCUAAUAGAAGUUAAAAAUUUCAAAGCUGGAGAAACUGGUGAAAGCAACAAAAAUGACCUGGUUGGAAACUAUAAAUACAUUGUUAAAAUCACCUUCACAUGGAUUUGAAAAUAUACACUUGUUCAAAUGCUUUAGUAUGUGAAUAUAUGUUUGUGUAAAAUGCUGAUAAAGAGCUAAAAGUGUGCUCGUCUACAAAUGUAUACAAAUAUUUGCAGAGUCUAAAAUGUCUGCUAUACCACCUUUGUUACCUUAAGACUGGUUUAUGAUGGGAUUUUAUGUUGUUUUAUUUUUAUUCUUUUCUCUUCUGCAUGAAUCAGAGCUUUAGGAAUAAAAAAUAAAGAUCUUCAUGCUCCACACAGGUGUUU